rnacentral:rRNA from 1 species
GGGGAAUAUUGCGCAAUGGGGGAAACCCUGACGCAGCGACGCCGCGUGGGUGAUGAAGGCCUUCGGGUUGUAAAGCCCUGUCGGCUGGGAACAAGUUAGACGUGCUCAUACCACGUUUGAUUGAGUGUACCAGCAAAGGAAGCACCGGCUAACCCUGUGCCAGCAGCCGCGGUAAUACAGGGGGUGCUAGCGUUGUUCGGAAUUACUGGGCGUAAAGGGCGCGUAGGCGGUUUCGCAAGUCAGAAGUGAAAUCCCGGAGCUUAACUCCGGAACUGCUUCUGAUACUGCGAGGCUUGAGUGUAUUAGAGGAUGGCGGAAUUCCUAGUGUAGUGGUGAAAUACGUAGAUAUUAGGAAGAACACCGGUGGCGAAGGCGGCCAUCUGGGAUACAACUGACGCUGAGGCGCGAAAGCGUGGGGAUCAAAC